rnacentral:rRNA from 1 species
CAUGCAGUCGAGCGGAACGAGUUAUCUGAACCUUCGGGGAACGAUAACGGCGUCGAGCGGCGGACGGGUGAGUAAUGCCUAGGAAAUUGCCCUGAUGUGGGGGAUAACCAUUGGAAACGAUGGCUAAUACCGCAUAAUACCUACGGGUCAAAGAGGGGGACCUUCGGGCCUCUCGCGUCAGGAUAUGCCUAGGUGGGAUUAGCUAGUUGGUGAGGUAAUGGCUCACCAAGGCGACGAUCCCUAGCUGGUCUGAGAGGAUGAUCAGCCACACUGGAACUGAGACACGGUCCAGACUCCUACGGGAGGCAGCAGUGGGGAAUAUUGCACAAUGGGCGCAAGCCUGAUGCAGCCAUGCCGCGUGUGUGAAGAAGGCCUUCGGGUUGUAAAGCACUUUCAGUCGUGAGGAAGGUAGUGUAGUUAAUAGCUGCAUUAUUUGACGUUAGCGACAGAAGAAGCACCGGCUAACUCCGUGCCAGCAGCCGCGGUAAUACGGAGGGUGCGAGCGUUAAUCGGAAUUACUGGGCGUAAAGCGCAUGCAGGUGGUUUGUUAAGUCAGAUGUGAAAGCCCGGGGCUCAACCUCGGAAUAGCAUUUGAAACUGGCAGACUAGAGUACUGUAGAGGGGGGUAGAAUUUCAGGUGUAGCGGUGAAAUGCGUAGAGAUCUGAAGGAAUACCGGUGGCGAAGGCGGCCCCCUGGACAGAUACUGACACUCAGAUGCGAAAGCGUGGGAGCAAACAGGAUUAGAUACCCUGGUAGUCCACGCCGUAAACGAUGUCUACUUGGAGGUUGUGGCCUUGAGCCGUGGCUUUCGGAGCUAACGCGUUAAGUAGACCGCCUGGGGAGUACGGUCGCAAGAUUAAAACUCAAAUGAAUUGACGGGGGCCCGCACAAGCGGUGGAGCAUGUGGUUUAAUUCGAUGCAACGCGAAGAACCUUACCUACUCUUGACAUCCAGAGAACUUUCCAGAGAUGGAUUGGUGCCUUCGGGAACUCUGAGACAGGUGCUGCAUGGCUGUCGUCAGCUCGUGUUGUGAAAUGUUGGGUUAAGUCCCGCAACGAGCGCAACCCUUAUCCUUGUUUGCCAGCACUUCGGGUGGGAACUCCAGGGAGACUGCCGGUGAUAAACCGGAGGAAGGUGG